ACGACGCUGGCGGCGUGCCUAACACAUGCAAGUCAACUUGACUGAAGGAGCAAUCUGACAGUAGAGUGGCGCAAGGGUGCGUAACGCGUAAGUAACUUGCCCAAGGUAAGGAAUAACGUCGAGAAAUCGGCGCUAAUACCUCAUAAUGCAGCGGAUCCGCAUGGAUAUGUUGUUAAAGGUUUACCGCCUUGGGAUAGGCUUGCGUCUGAUUAGCUAGUUGGUGUGGUAACGGCACACCAAGGCUACGAUCAGUAACUGGUCUGAGAGGAUGAUCAGUCACACUGGAACUGAGACACGGUCCAGACUCCUACGGGAGGCAGCAGUGAGGAAUAUUGGGCAAUGCUCGAAAGAGUGACCCAGCAACGCCGCGUGGAGGAUGAAGGUAUUCUAUAUCGUAAACUCCUGUGAGAGCAGACGAAAGACAGAUUAUUAAUCUGGAUGACUGUAUGCUCAGAGGAAGCCCCGGCUAACUACGUG
rnacentral:rRNA from 1 species